CCUACGGGUGGCAGCAGUGGGGGAUAUUGCACAAUGGGGGGAACCCUGAUGCAGCGACGCCGCGUGGGUGAAGAAGUGCUUCGGUGCGUAAAGCUCUGUCAGCAGGGAAGAAAAUGACGGUACCUGACUAAGAAGCCCCGGCUAACUACGUGCCAGCAGCCGCGGUAAUACGUAGGGGGCAAGCGUUAUCCGGAUUUACUGGGUGUAAAGGGGGCGUAGACGGCGUGGCAAGUCAGGAGUGAAAGCCCAGGGCUUAACCAUGGAACUGCUCUUGAAACUGUGCUGCUGGAGUGCAGGAGGGGUAGGCGGAAUUCCUGGUGUAGCGGUGAAAUGCGUAGAUAUCAGGAGGAACACCAGUGGCGAAGGCGGCCUACUGGACUGUAACUGACGUUGAGGCCCGAAAGCGUGGGGAGCAAACAGGAUUAGAUACCCCAGUAGUC
rnacentral:rRNA from 1 species